UACGUAGGGUGCGAGCGUUGUCCGGAAUUAUUGGGCGUAAAGAGCUCGUAGGCGGUCUGUCGCGUCGGAUGUGAAAGCCCGAGGCUUAACCCUGGGUCUGCAUUCGAUACGGGCAGACUAGAGUUCGGUAGGGGAGAUCGGAAUUCCUGGUGUAGCGGUGAAAUGCGCAGAUAUCAGGAGGAACACCGGUGGCGAAGGCGGUUCUCUGGGCAUUACCUGACGCUGAGGAGCGAAAGUGUGGGGAGCGAACAGG
rnacentral:rRNA from 1 species